UUCCGGUUGAUCCUGCCGGACCCGACUGCUAUCAGAAUAGGACUAAGCCAUGCGAGUCAACGUAGCAAUACGUGGCAUACGGCUCAGUAACACGUAGUCAACUUGCCCAGGGGACGUGGAUAACCUCGGGAAACUGAGGAUAAACCGCGAUAGGCCAUGAUGUCUGGAAUGACUUAUGGCUCAAAUCUACAUGGCCCCUGGAUUGGACUGCGGCCGAUCAGGCUGUUGGUGAGGUAAUGGCCCACCAAACCUAAAACCGGUACGGGCUCUGAGAGGAGUAGCCCGGAGAUGGGCACUGAGACAAGGGCCCAGGCCCUAUGGGGCGCAGCAGGCGCGAAACCUCUGCAAUAAGCGAAAGCUUGACAGGGUUAUUCUGAGUGAUUUCCGCUAAGGAAGUCUUUUGGCACCUCUAAAAAUGGUGCAGAAUAAGGGGUGGGCAAGCCUGGUGUCAGCCGCCGCGGUAAUACCAGCACCCCGAGUGGUCGGGACGAUUAUUGGGCCUAAAGCAUCCGUAGCCGGUUUUACAAGUCUUCCGUUAAAUCCAACUGCUUAACAGUUGGGCUGCAGAGGAUACUAUAGAGCUAGGAGGCGGGAGAGGCAGGCGGUACUUAGUGGGUAGGGGUAAAAUCCGUUGAUCCACUGAAGACCACCAGUGGCGAAGGCGGCUUGCCAGAACGCGCUCGACGGUGAGGGAUGAAAGCUGGGGGAGCAAACCGGAUUAGAUACCCGGGUAGUCCCAGCUGUAAACGAUGCAGACUCGGUGAUGAAUAGGCUUCGUGCCUAUUCAGUGCCGCAGGGAAGCCGUUAAGUCUGCCGCCUGGGGAGUACGGUCGCAAGACUGAAACUUAAAGGAAUUGGCGGGGGAGCACCACAAGGGGUGAAGCCUGCGGUUCAAUUGGACUCAACGCCGGA
rnacentral:rRNA from 1 species